CAGUAUCUGCCCAGGUGUAGGAGACAUCUGACCUCUGAUCCCUGCGAUAAGACGGGCAAAGAAGCCGUUCUGUACUUUGAAAUUUUGUCAUACAACAGGCAGCAGGCCAGAUCAGGACCGCAAGCUAUAGUUUGCCAUCCCUGAUCUUUUCCAAUGAAGUCACCCUGAGGGCAGAGGAAUACGAACAAGUGUGUUUUGGAUAUCCCUGAAGCAGACACCACAAGCUAGACAUUUUAUGAAGGUCUGUUUAUCACACUAUCAACUAAAGUACACAUUAAUUUUAAUGAAUUAUUUUAGUAGAUAUUUAUGUCAGCAUUAAUGAAAAACAUUCAAUUACUACAUUACAUAACCUUUCUAGUCAAUUUUUGAAUAAAUUAAUGCUGCUUGGUUUUAUCUGCAACACAAUACAGGGUAAUGUUCAAUAUUUCCAGUAACACAAACCUGAGAAAGGGAAAUGAUCCAUUAUAGUAUGAAGCAGUACUGAAAUCAGCAGUUUUCCCAUAGCAGGUACUGUCUUCUUUUAGUUCUGUGACACAGAUGGCUUGAUCACAGUAAAAUCUGACUAUCCAACUUCCCAGAAAUUAAGAAAGUGUUUCUUUCUCUUUAGAGUGAUGCUCAAGCCUCCAGCAUGAACUGUUUGCAUCAGGUUUUUCUCUAUUUCUAUUCUCUCAUCACAGUAGAGUCCUGACCCCCUGAGUGCUGGGCUCAUUGAUUCAGCCUUUAAUUUUCAUGCUCUGAUCUGACUCAAGUAGCACAAAUAAAUUCAUAUAAAUGUAAAACCCAUGCCAUCAUUUCACAGUAUGUUUCAAGCUCAAGAUGUCUCCGGUAAUUUAAUACUCAGUCAAAAACAACCUGCUGCAUUUUGCUUCCCAUUCUAUUUUAUCCCAGUACUUAAAUUUUAUAACCUUAUUUGGGUUUUUUAAAAUCAAAGCUUCCUACAAGCCUAGUAAAUGCUCAAGCAUGUUUCGUUACUUUUCCUAUUUUGCAAAAUGUAACAUUUAACUGAAUCUUUCCAAUUUUAUAUCAAAUGAUGAAACACAGCUAAACUGAAUCCAGCCCCUACUAGCGUGUUAAUAUAGGAGAUUUUGUACAAAAAGUCUGCCAUGUCCAUCCUGUUGCAGAAAUAACCAAUCCUGGGACCACCAUUUGUUGCAAGGCUCUCAAACAGUACUAAAUGUAUUACUUGUAGUGGAAUGUGUAAAUUGGCCUGGUCUUUCCACACACUCACAGCCUGCAUCCCCUCAUAGCAAAAUUUUUGUCUCUCAUAUCUGUUGUAUGUUCAUACUCAGAACAAGCCAAUGCAAAAAAGGAGCAAGAUAGCAAAUUUGUUUUAACUUUUUAUUAAAACGCUUAAGAUACAGAUUGACUCUCUUCUGUAAAUGGCUGUUUUAUUUUUCCUGAAAUAGGACAUAUACGCACUCUGAUAAAACAGAAUGAAAAGUCUCAAUUCAUGGGAGUUCCUGUACAAAGCUCUGAUCCUGUUAGGAGCUGAGCUCCUUACAGCAGCUUCUUUCCUCUAUUUUAUCAUAGGAACUGUGUUUUCUGUGGGGCAAGAAACAGACAGGCGCCACUUGAUUUUUCAAUCCCAGCUCUUUCUCCGGUGGCCAAAAUAAACCACUUUCACAAAGAGCUGCCCUGUGUAGAAUCCAUAGUUUUCUAGCUUGCUAAAAAUUGACUAGGGACAAAUAGAAAAAAAAAAGAAGAAGAAGAAAACUAA